UACGUAGGGGGGCUAGCGUUGUCCGGAAUCAUUGGGCGUAAAGAGCGUGUAGGCGGUCCGGUAAGUCCGCUGUGAAAGUCGGGGGGCUCAACCCUCGAAUGCCGGUGGAUACUGUCGGGCUAGAGUGCGGAAGAGGCGAGUGGAAUUCCUGGUGUAGCGGUGAAAUGCGCAGAUAUCAGGAGGAACACCAAUUGCGAAGGCAGCUCGCUGGGACGUAACUGACGCUGAGACGCGAAAGCGUGGGGAGCAAACAGG
rnacentral:rRNA from 1 species